GACAGAGGGGGCAAGCGUUGCUCGGAAUCACUGGGCGUAAAGGGCGCGUAGGCGGGAUGGCAAGUCGGUCGUGAAAACUUGGGGCUUAACCCUGAGCUUGCGGUCGAUACGGGCAUGACUGGAGUUCGGCAGGGGAGACUGGAAUUCCUGGUGUAGCGGUGAAAUGCGCAGAUAUCAGGAGGAACACCGGUGGCGAAGGCGGGUCUCUGGGCCGAUACUGACGCUGAGGAGCGAAAGCGUGGGGAGCGAACAGG
rnacentral:rRNA from 1 species